rnacentral:rRNA from 1 species
GACGAACGCUGGCGGCGUGCUUAACACAUGCAAGUCGAACGGAAAGGCCCCAGCUUGCUGGAGUACUCGAGUGGCGAACGGGUGAGUAACACGUGGGUGACCUGCCCUGCACUUCGGGAUAAGCCUGGGAAACUGGGUCUAAUACCGGAUAGGACCGCACUUUGGUGUGUGUGGUGGAAAGGGUUUUGGGGUGUGGGAUGGGCUCGCGGCCUAUCAGUUUGUUGGUGGGGUAAUGGCCUACCAAGACGUCGACGGGUAGCCGGCCUGGGAGGGUGGACGGGCACAAUGGGAAUGAGAUACGGGCCAGACUCCUACGGGAGGCAGGAGGGGGGAAUAAUGGACAAUGGGGGAGACCCUGAUGCAGCGACGCCGCGUGGGGGAUGAAGGGCUUCGGGUUGUAAACUCCUUUCGCUAGGGACGAAGCUUUUUGUGACGGUACCUGGAGAAGAAGCACCGGCUAACUACGUG